rnacentral:rRNA from 1 species
GGUUGAUCCUGCCAGUAGUUAUAUGCUUGUCUCAAAGAUUAAGCCAUGCAUGUCUAAGUACACACUCUCGUAUAGUGAAACCGCAAAAGGCUCAGUAUAUCAGUUAUGGUUCAUUAGAUCGUGUUCAUAGUUACUUGGAUAACUGUGGUAAUUCUAGAGCUAAUACAUGUCAACAAUCACGGACCGCAAGGAACGUGUGCUUUUAUUAGAUUAAAACCAAUCGACACUUGUGUCGCCUUUUAAAUGAUUCUAGAUAACACGCUGAUCGCAUGGUCUCGCACCGGCGAUGGAU